CACUCACCGAUUCAGGGAGCCGGAGCCCAGCUUUGCGCGGCAGCUGCGGCCCAGGCCGGAAGGUGGACUUGGCCUGGGAGGAAACACAUCCGGUGUCAGCGGCGGCGCGGCGCGCCAGGGUGGGCUGGGCGUCCCGGAAGGACAUCCCGAGAGCGGGCCCCGCGCUCCCCGCCCCCCACUCCCGGAGCGGCGCAGCGGCGCCCGAAUCCCGCGAAAUCCAGCUCUCGGCACGCGAGCCGCGCCCCUUCGUGUUGCCGAAAAGACUGUACUCUUGUCUCUGUGAACAACUCAGUGACACGAAGUUGGGCCAUAAUACUGUUGAAGACAGUCCAUAACAACCCCAAAUACUUCAUAGCCAGCUUCAAGACAAGUACAAAUGGUAGGAGGCAGAUUCAUUAUCAGUAGGCAAUCAACAAUAGGCAACUGGAAGCUCUAUCACAUAUACAGGCCAAGAGCACUGUCACCUUAUAUCUCAGCCUAUUUUUUGCCAAAAAACAAAACAAAACAAAACAAAAAAACCACCAAAAAAAAACCAAAAAACAAAAAAAAACCC